CGGUGAGUUUGGGGGAAUAUCGGGGAGGCUGCUGAGCUGAGCCGUGGCAGCUCCUGGUUCACAAGUGCCUGUUGUUCCCAGAAUAGCGCAAGCCGCAAUCAAGGCAAUUGCAAGCUAACGCUGCUUUUGUUAACCAGGCUUGCGUUGAAUCGUGAGAUGUUUUUAUUUUAUUUCGGCCUUCAAAAUGUUUGCAAAUGCAGGUGUUUAUUUUCCAUUUCCCGUUGAUCUUCUGCGUCGCUGCUUUCUCUGCGCUGUCCCGCUGCACGUGCACGGUGCGCCCUCCCCGUGGAGGAGCAUCCCUUGGGCUCCUGCCCCCGCGCGGUGUUAAAUCCGGAGGCUUGGAAGUGCUCAGAAAACAGACUGAAUCAGUUAGUCACAAGACUUCCCAAAGCGAGGGAUUAUUUCCAUGAUUUCAGCGCAGCCUCUGGUUUGGACGUGACCUCUGGCUGAAGAGAACAGCUCUCCGGGGAUGCCUUGUUUUGGGACGGAGGCUGAGGAAUGCAGAAAUGGUGUGUGGAUAGCAGAGCCCGAACGGUGGCGGCGUAGAUGCUGAUGCUGCCCAGGCCACGAGAGCCUCGGUGAAGAGCUUUUGUUUUCCCUCACUUCAGUGCUCGUGAUCCCUAAAUGUCUUCUCAAGGACAAACGCAAGCAGAGGACGGCAGUCGUCUUCCUGUUAAAAACCAGCUGCUCCUGGAAACACGCAAGAAAAAGGAUUUUAAGGGUAAAAAUUAAAAUUGAAACAGGUUAUGCAAGAGCUGCUGAUAACGCCACGCUGUUUCAUCCCACUCAAGGCAUCCCCGCAGUGUCUCCCUUUAUCGGUUUUGCAUGAAGAGAGAAAUGUUUCUGAGCAAACGCAGAAUUAAAUGAUUGCUGUAGCCGGCUGCGAGUUCAAGAAACUGUCUGACCGUACUCGUAAGGAAGAGUUUUGCAAGGAACAUUUUCUUGGAUUGUUUCCUCGAAACUCUCUGAGUUGAAGGCUUUGUGCUGUUGAGCAAGUCUCGGUGAGAUCACGUUCGUUUUUUGGGCUGCAAAGCAAACGAGAGCCACACCGGCCACAACCUCCUGCCAGCGAUGGCAGAGGCAUCUCUAUUUGCACUUGGUCCGGCGGGGGCAGGCACCCUGAUUCCUGGUAAAUUAAAACCAAACAGAGGUGGAUUCCCUCUCGACGGCUUUAUCUCCGCGGAGAGGAGAUGUCAACGCGGCCAUUCGUGCUUGGCUUUUAUCUACAGCAGCGUGCUGUGCUGGUGGCUCAAAGCAGGGGGUGUGCAAACCAUCACUUGUGGUCAUUGAGGAGGAGAGCCACAAGCUGCGAGGCCACCGGGAUGCUGUACGCACCCACUGCCCAAAUUUGUUAAUGUUUGGGCUCUCCUGCCCUCUCGGGCAUGGUGUGUGAGUGGUUUGUGGUGCUCCGUGGAUCUCCAGAUGAAAAGCACCGGUGAUAUUUGCUGUUAAAGGCUGUCGGUAUUAAACUGCACAAAAUUUGCGUUUUGCAAGAGCCCGCCAGUGCCUUUUUGUUACAUUUCCAUGCCAUUUCUCUCCAGUAAGUAUUAAAGUGGAAAUUGCUGUGCUGGAAACCAAAUAAAUCGCUAUUUAAAGUAG